rnacentral:rRNA from 1 species
AUUCCAGCUCCAAUAGCGUAUAUUAAAGUUGUUGCAGUUAAAAAGCUCGUAGUUGGAUUUCUGGCGGGAGCGGCCUGUCCUGCCCUUUGCGGGGUUGAGCACAAGCGCUGCAUCCGGCCAUCCUUGUGGAGAGCGUUUCUGGCAUUCAGUUGUCGGACUCGGGAUCCGCAUCGUUUACUGUGAAAAAAUUAGAGUGUUUAAAGCAGGCAUUUGCUUGAAUACAUUAGCAUGGAAUAAUAAGAUAGGACUUAGUCGUUAUUUUGUUGGUCUUGCACGUCUAGGUAAUGAUUAAUAGGGAUAGUUGGGGGUAUUCAUGUUUAAUUGUCAGAGGUGAAAUUCUUGGAUUUAUGAAAGAUGAACUUCUGCGAAAGCAUUUGCCAAGGAUGUUUUCAUUG